rnacentral:rRNA from 1 species
AUUGAACGAUGGCGGGAGGAAGAACAAAGGCAAGUCGAACGGUAACAGGAAGAAGAUGGCUUCUUUGCUGACGAGUGGCGGACGGGUGAGGAAUGUCUGGGAAACUGCCUGAUGGAGGGGGAUAACUACUGGAAACGGUAGCUAAGACCGCAUAACGUCGCAAGACCAAAGAGGGGGACCUGCGGGCCUCUUGCCAUCGGAUGUGCCCAGAUGGGAUUAGCUAGUAGGUGGGGUAACGGCUCACCUAGGCGACGAUCCCUAGCUGGUCUGAGAGGAUGACCAGCCACACUGGAACUGAGACACGGUCCCGACUCCUACGGGAGGCAGCAGUGGGGAAUAUUGCACAAUGGGCGCAAGCCUGAUGCAGCCCUGCCGCGUGUAUGAAGAAGGCCUUCGGGUUGUAAAGUACUUUCAGCGGGGAGGAAGGGAGUCAAGUUAAUACCUUUGCUCAUUGACGUUACCCGCAGAAGAAGCACCGGCUAACUCCGUG